rnacentral:rRNA from 1 species
AUCAGGUAGGAAGACCCGCUGAACUUAAGCAUAUCAUAAGGCCGGAGGAAAUUUUUAAUUUCUU